rnacentral:lncRNA from 1 species
CCUUUCCUUCAGCUUGUACCACCCUCUUUUCAACCCGAGCAACUUUCUCCUUCGGUUGAAUGGCUUUCUCCUUAGAUCAAGCUACUUAAUCUUCUACUUGGCUAAUCCCCCUUUGACCUAGGAGUGUUUGCUCUCUGCUUUGAUAGCCCAAGUUUGAAGAUGAGCAAUCUCUAUAUCACCUUCCUUUCGACCAAGAGCAACCUUGGCCUUGAUGAUGUGCUAGCUUCCUUGAGCUUG